GCGGUGCUUGCACCGUGGAUUAGUGGCGAACGGGUGAGUAACACGUGAGUAACCUGGCCUUAACUCUGGGAUAAGCCUUGGAAACGGGGUCUAAUACUGGAUAUGCACUUUCUCUCGCAUGGGGGUUGGUGGAAAGCUUUUGUGGUUUUGGAUGGACUCACGGCCUAUCAGCUUGAUGGUGGGGUAAUGGCCUACCAUGGCGGUGACGGGUAGCCGGCCUGAGAGGGUGACCGGCCACACUGGGACUGAGACACGGCCCAGACUCCUACGGGAGGCAGCAGUGGGGAAUAUUGCACAAUGGGCGAAAGCCUGAUGCAGCGACGCCGCGUGAGGGAUGACGGCCUUCGGGUUGUAAACCUCUUUCAGUAUUGAACAAGGCCAUGCUUUUGUGUGGUUGAGGGUAGGUACAGAAGAAGCACCGGCUAACUACGUGCCAGCAGCCGCGGUAAUACGUAGGGUGCGAGCGUUAUCCGGAAUUAUUGGGCGUAAAGAGCUCGUAGGCGGUUUGUCGCGUCUGUCGUGAAAGUUCGGGGCUUAACUCCGAAUGUGCGGUGGGUACGGGCAGGCUAGAGUGAUGUAGGGGUAACUGGAACUCCUGGUGUAGCGGUGGAAUGCGCAGAUAUCAGGAAGAACACCGAUGGCGAAGGCAGGUUACUGGGCAUUUACUGACGCUGAGGAGCGAAAGCAUGGGGAGCGAACAGGAUUAGAUACCCUGGUAGUCCAUGCCGUAAACGUUGGGCACUAGGUGUGGGGGACAUUCCACGUUUUCCGCGCCGUAGCU
rnacentral:rRNA from 1 species